GACGAACGCUGGCGGCGUGCUUAACACAUGCAAGUCGAACGGAAAGGCCCUGCUUUUGUGGGGUGCUCGAGUGGCGAACGGGUGAGUAACACGUGAGUAACCUGCCCUUGACUUUGGGAUAACUUCAGGAAACUGGGGCUAAUACCGGAUAGGAGCUCCUGCUGCAUGGUGGGGGUUGGAAAGUUUCGGCGGUUGGGGAUGGACUCGCGGCUUAUCAGCUUGUUGGUGGGGUAGUGGCUUACCAAGGCUUUGACGGGUAGCCGGCCUGAGAGGGUGACCGGCCACAUUGGGACUGAGAUACGGCGCAGACUCCUACGGGAGGCAGCAGUGGGGAAUAUUACACAAUGGGCCGAAGCCUGAUGCAGCAACGCCGCGUGCGGGAUGACGGCCUUCGGGUGGUAAACCGCUUUCGCCUGUGACGAAGCGUGAGUGACGGUAAUGGGUAAAGAAGCACCGGCUAACUACGUG
rnacentral:rRNA from 1 species